UUUGCGCGUGGAUCCAUAGACUGCUAUGUAUUGCUAUCCGCGGUCAUUACUAAAGUUGGUAUUACUACAGAAGCAAGCGGUCGGCAACAUUCAUCUCUCAAGGGGGUGUCUAAGUUGGUGUCACAAUGUGUUUGACCCUUCAAAUUUUGCACACAUAUACAUGUAUUAUAUCAUCUAAGAAAGAUGGCUAUUUUUUAAUGUUGGUCAAUUGUGUGACCACCAGAGCAGGCCUUUGACAGGAGGCCACCGAAGGGGCUGUGGUCCUACAUGGUUGACUGAACAAUACCCUAUAAAACCAGCAUAAGGAACAGUUCAGGAUAUUUCUCAACAAGCUCAAUAUAAAUGAACCUCCCAAAACAGAGCCCUGGUGAGUACUGCAGACCAGCAGCUUUUUCCCUGGAAUGGCAAACCCCCUCAACUUACACGCACAGAUCCCAAGUGGCUUCACAAGGACUGGGCCAUCAAAUGAGCAACAGAUGAUCCUAAUUACAUCAUUUCCAUCUCAUUAGUUUAAAGCUUUUAACCUGACAAUUCCUUCAGUUUUUGUUUUAAUCUGAUAAGGCAGCCACAGAGUGCCCUGCAGGGUGAAGGCUAGUUAGGAGCUAGCCCAAGGUUCCACCUAAGAUUGGAGCUUGCUGUGUUUUCUCGAGAAUUUAAAACACGUUAGUUGAGUCUGCCUGGGUCUGGUGAGGGGAAGAACUCCACUUUUUAUUUUGACACUGGCACUGCUCAGAUUACAGCUUUCAGAUGUUCAUUUAAAGCCUCUUUCACAGAUUUGUUUCCACACACUUCUGAUGGAACAGCUCUGAGAAGGCUUUUCACUAAGACCAUGGAUUCAGCAAAUAGCCAUGUGUUGUAAACCUGUGUCUGUCUGAAUCUUUUCAAUCUGGUUAUCAUACACACGUAAUGUCUCUGUUACUAAAAUGUCAAAAUAAACCCUUUAUAAUAAUUGUUGUCUGUGAUCUCUUUACAUACUGUAUCCAAGCCUGCAAAAGCACAACAAUUGUGAUUUACCCCCCAGAGAUCUAACAAUGCAAAACUGAAAGACAAUCACUUUUUUUAAACAAAAAACAAAAAAUUGAGGAGAAUGAGUGCUGCCAGAUGAAACCACAUAUUUAAUUCCUUGUGUUAUUGUUUUGCUGAACUGCAAUCAGCGAGACAGACCAAGUAUUUUCCAUACAGGCUCCAUGUGGGGCUGCAGACACUAACAUCAAUCUCCUUUUUUCUUUCCUAUCUGGUUGUUAUAAAACUGCAGAAAUCAACUGUGCAGUGACCUCUGACCCUGUAGCAUCUGUUUUAGAUGCUGAGAUAAGCACUUUCAUAUACCACAUGCUUUGAUGGUAAUGCAAUAUGACACCCUAUUCUCCUCUGCAGAUA